CCUACGGGCGGCAGCAGCAAGGAAUUUUGCGCAAUGGGCGAAAGCCUGACGCAGCAACGCCGCGUGGGGGAUGAAGGCUCUCGGGUCGUAAACCCCUUUUGCUGGGGAAGUAACUGACGGUACCCAGCGAAUAAGCCACGGCUAACUACGUGCCAGCAGCCGCGGUAAUACGUAGGUGGCGAGCGUUGUCCGGAUUUACUGGGCGUAAAGCGCGCGCAGGUGGCCUGCCAAGUCUGGGGUGAAAUCUCUCGGCUCAACCGAGAGGAGUCUCUGGAUACUGGCAAGCUUGAGGAGAGCAGAGGAGAGUGGAAUUCCCGGUGUAGCGGUGAUAUGCGUAGAUAUCGGGAGGAACACCAGUGGCGAAGGCGACUCUCUGGGCUCUUCCUGACGCUCAGGCGCGAAAGCGUGGGGAGCAAACCGGAUUAGAUACCCCUGUAGU
rnacentral:rRNA from 1 species